GUCCAUAGCUCAGUGGCCAAGUGUCUGCUUUGCAUGCAGAAGCCCCCAGGUUCAAUCCCUGAUAUUGCCU